rnacentral:rRNA from 1 species
CCCUUAGAUGUUCGGGGCCGCACGCGCGCUACACUGAAAGGAUCAGCUGGUAAGUUGCUCCUGGCUUGGAAACGUCGGGCAACCCGUUGAACCUCCUUCGUGCUUGGGAUUGGGGCUUGCAAUUAUUCCCCAUGAACGAGGAAUUCCCAGUAGGCGCGAGUCAUCAGCUCGCGUCGAUUACGUCCCUGCCCUUUGUACACACCGCCCGUCGCUACUACCGAUUGAACGGUUUAGUGAGGGCCUCGGAUUGGUCUCGGCCCGCUCUUUACCGGGCGGCGCCGUUGGUCGAGAAGACGCUCGAACUUGAUCGUUUAGAGGAAGUAAAAGUCGUAACA